GGGGGUAUAGCUCAGUGGUUAGAGCACCCGGGGGUUCGACUCCCGCUGCCUCCA
rnacentral:tRNA from 1 species